ensembl:lncRNA
ACCCAAGGUUGGAUACGUUGUAAUAUCACCUGGGAUAAGGAUGCCUGAUGACCCAAGGGUGGAAAUGUUGUAAAUUAAUAUCACCUGGGAUAAGGAUACUGGAGUGAUGGAGGUAGAUAUGUAUAGGGGGAAGGGGACAGGGAUACUGGAGUGAUGGAGGUAGAUAUGUAUAGGGGUAAGGUGACUAUAUACAGGGUCAGUACCAUAUUAACAAUGUACAGGGAUACUGGAGUGUUGGAGGUAGAUAUGUAUAGGGGGAAGGAGACAGGGAUAUUGGAGUGAUGGAGGUAGAUAUGUAUAGGGGGAAGGGGACAGGGAUACUGGAGUGAUGGAGGUAGAUAUGUAUAGGGGGAAGGUGACAGGGAUACUGGAGUGAUGGAGGUAGAUAUGUAUAGGGGGAAGGUGACAGGGAUACUGGAGUGAUGGAGGUAGAUAUGUAUAGGGGGAAGGGGACUAGGUAUCAGGAUAUAUGAUAAACAGAGUAGCAGCAGCUUGUGGGUGUAUAGAGUCAGUAUAAAUGUAUGUGCAUAUUAUGUGUUAGUGAACAGAUGAAGGAGUGAGAGUCUGUGUUAAAGUGACAGUCAGUGUGUAGAGUCCUGUCAGUGUGUAGAGUCCUGUCAGUGUGUAGAGUCCUGUCAGUGUGUAGAGUCCUGUCAGUGUGUAGGGUCCUGUCAGUGUGUAGGGUCCUGUCAGUGUGUAGGGUCCUGUCAGUGUGUAG